AUACUUACCUGGCGUAGAGGAUACCGUGAUCAUGCAGGCGGUACCCUCAGGGCGAGACUGGUCCAUUGCGGAGUGGUUGAACCUUGCGAUUAUUUUUAUUUUUAUCUAUAAAAAAAUCAUAAUAAAAAAAUGUAUACUCGAUUAAUUAUUUUCUUUAUAC
rnacentral:snRNA from 9 species